rfam:TPA: Bos taurus chromosome 19, whole genome shotgun sequence.
UCCCUGAUGGUCCAGUGGUUAGGAUUCUGCACUUCCACUGCAGGGGGUACAGGUUCGAUCCCCAGUCAGGGAA